AAUUACCAGUCCGGCCUUCCCCUGGAAAUCAUUCAUUAGCAAGCAGUAAGAUGAAGGUCUACAACAUUAUUAGCCUUCUGUUCCGAGUAUUCAAGCUGAUUUGCCAAUUGAUGUAUGUUGGGAAGACAGCAGUGAACAAACAUGAAAAUCUUUGCUCUCCUGGAAUUUUAUUUGCUAAUUACAUCGUGUUUUGGAUGAACUCAUCUUUUGGCAGUCUCAAAUACUAGUUACAGAAGAAGAAGACGAAGACGAAGACGAAGACGAAGAAGAAGAGGAAGAAGAAGAAGAAGUUGUCUCAGCAUCUUUUAGUGUAGAUAGAGUGGAUGUAUUUGGAGCAGAAAUUAAAUGUGAUACUUUGUU